GGAGUCCCAAUGCAUAGAAUUGUUGUGAACAGAUUUAACUACUGCGUAGUUUUGUGACCAAAUGUAAGAGUGACAACUAGGCAUUGAAACUCUCCAGGACAGAAAUGAGGAAACUACUCCAGAGAGCAUUUGGAGGCUUGAGAUCUCUCAGACCUGGAAGGACUCUUCCUAUAGAAAUAAUACAGGAUGCUCAGUUAAACUAGAACUCUGGAUAAACAAAUGCUUUCCUGCCCCUUGAGACUGAAUAAUUCGUUGCUGCGAAUUUUCUUCCACACAUUGAGGGAAGGAAUGAUUGAAGCUAACUCCUCAAACAGACUUCUGCCCAGAUGCACAGUACGUGUUGCCAAAGCCACAUGGUCAUCCCAUGGAGCCUACAUAUGUGCAACUGGAGGAUAGUUUCUUACUGGAGCAGGAAUGUGCUGAUCAAGAGAAAUUUGCUGGUGUCAUUUACAGCAUGGUGUUGAAGAAUCAUAAGAGUUCAAUAUUAAGUAUAGAGGAAUCGCCUACAUAUACUGAUUACAUCAUGGUGAGUCUCUAUCCUUAUCAUUUGAGUUAGUUAACAUUAUUCUGUGAGCUCCAUAUUAAACCAGAAUAUAUGUCUUCACUUUACCAGAGAGUCAUAAAUUGGGGAAGACAGCAAAGAACUAUUUUGUAGCCAAGAAACAUUCUAUGUACUAACAUGCAGGCUAGGACUGACCCAUACUCCCUCUGAUUCAGAGUCCUUAGCCACAUUCUUUUCUCUGCUUGAACUUAAUUGGAUUUCUCCCUCUCUCCCCCCUUUCUU
rnacentral:lncRNA from 1 species